GCUAUGUCUCGGCGCACGGCGUCGUGCAUAUAGCAUCACUCCAAAGAUAAAUGUACCGUUACUUGAAGCUGCUGCCGGCUAGAAGAAACUGAGCAAGCGCAUAUGCCCACUGAUGUAGCCUGGAGCAGAGAUGGUCACUUCUGGGCACACCAUCCUCCCUGGCCAAGUCGCGUGGAAAGGCAUCCAACACACGCUUGGCCUUGGGUCACUUGCUGAAAGGAGACCCAGGAGGGGGCAUCUCUUUUGCAUGGUUUCUCGUG